rnacentral:tRNA from 1 species
GGGUGUAGCUCAAGUGGCAGAGCCCGUGCUUAGCAAGCACAAGGUCCUGGGUUCAAUCCCCGGUAUGUCCU